CAGGUAGAUCUGUUCUAGGACAGUGUUCCCCUUUCUGCGAAGAAGGGGGGAUGAUAGCAAAUGGUCAGGGAUGGGAUAGGCCUAACUUUCAAAGAAAGUGGAGAGCUGGGGAUCGAACAGUUGUUUUUCUUCUCUCUCUUUACCCUUCCAGUCAUGUUCUUCAGCUAGAACAGCGCAAGACACUGUUGCUGAUGAUGUGAGAAGUUGCUGGUGUUGCACAGGGCUACCUAAGUUUUUAAUAAGCUUACAUGCCCCCUGCCCCUUAAGAAUAUCGAGAAAUUACCCUUUAUAAGGGCUUUAAUUUAACAGCUUUUAUAAUUAUAAAUAUGGUUGAAAGAUGCUGAACUUCAGGGGGAUAUUGACAGCAGGACGGGAAGUUGUGUGCCACUGCCAUGCACUGCUGCUGGAAAUGAGCCUCUAAUCCAAAUGGCUGUGACCUGGAUAUCAAAGAAGGAAAAUUAGGGUCUGUUGCCAAGAAACUGAGUGUCCUUGGCAUGUAGCAAAGCAGCAACAGAGUUUUAAUUAUCUAAUUAAAAUGUGGCAUCCCGUUAUUUUAUAUCAUUUAGAAAGCCAGUUGUGGGUAUUGUCCUGUUUCUUUCUUGCUACUCUGUAGAAAAGGUCCCUGACCCGAGCAGGUAGCCACGAUGGGCAUGCGUAUCAAAGCCAAGAUGUUAACAAAAGCAGCAGUCAUUGACUUUGCUCAUAUGUUGUUAGUUCUGUGCAGGUUUUCCUUCUUAAUCUUUGCAAGUUGUAAGUAAUUAAAAAUUGUUCUGUGGGAGAUGUAGGACGUGUUUGGAAAUUUUGGGUUAUUUUUUUCCAGUGUUCUACUUUGUCCUACAUUUCAGCUCUGUGUCUCUGGGGUGGUUUUCAUUGACUUUGAAAUCUAUCUUGGCAAAGUUUAAUGGCACUCACUGUUUUGCUUGUUUCUCUUCUGGUCUGCUUUUCCUUUGAUAUGCUCUGAUAAAUAUUUGCUGUGGGACAGAUUUCAGUCUUGGUUAUGUCAGUAUAAAUGAAAAGCACAGUCGCUGAAGUCCAUGAUUACACUAGAGGAAGUGAAAUUGGACGUGGGCUCGCCUGUCCGAAGCCGGUAGCUCUAUACCCCGGUGGCUUCUGUGCUGCCACCAGGCUGUGCUUGAAGUCUCCAUGGGGUGAGGACGUCUGCUAGAAAACAGACCUGAAAUUUCAGAUCAAAGAUACACGAUUGAGAUCUGCAAAUAUGUUACUUCAAAGAAAUUCUGCUUCAAUCCUCUUUAAAAAAAACAAAACACAUUGAUGGAGAUUCUCAGUCCUAACCAAGAGUAGCUUGUUGCUAUUUCUAAUUUCUUGUUUGUGUAAGAAGUCAGAAAAAUGGGAAAAGUCCCACAGACCCAAAGUUCAAAUCCAAGUGCUUUUAAUGAAAUCACCACGUAUCACCUGAGGAUACUUGGUUUCUGAUAUCCGAAUGCCAAAGAAAAGGCAAGUAUGUACAUGAAAGCUGAAAUAAAUUCUACACAGAGAAUAAUUCAGGUAUGUUAGUACUAGAAAAUUUGUCUCCCAAUAUCUACAGUGGUGUAAGAAUAUUGCCAUUGCUACAACCCAGGAAACCUCCGAACCACCUGAGCUUGCUGAGAUGUAGACCAGAACCUUUUCUCCACAUUUCUGAACUCCGGGUAUCUCAUCUGCAGCUAACAAAGGACGCUGCUUACUCAUACAGAGCCUACUUGAAGUUUGGCAGUCCUACAAGAGCUGUACUGGCCUUUCGAACACGUCAAGUUAUCUAACAGCCUUCUCCACCCUUCCUUGUUACCCCAUGCAGUAGCACGAUGUCAUUUGUCAGAGCGCCAAAACUGGAGACAUGCUGAAUAUGUGAAUACCAAGGAAGUGGUUUCCUUAGCAAUAACAGGCAUGUGAAAGUCAAAACUUCCUUUCCUCCUCAUGUGACCUUUUUCAAAGCAAUUCAGCCCAGGAACAAUAGGAGUGAAUUCCAAGCACCCGCAGUGUUCCUGCACCGCCGGGCAAGGAUCUGCCAAACGGCCAACUUAUCUUAAUAAAAAGGUAAGGUAAAAUUAUAUUUCUCUUUAGAUGUUCUCCACAAGGGAUUUGGUGUGUUUAUGUGUACAGCAUAGUGUUUCCUGAAAGCAAAAUUGCCUAACACCAUAGAAACAAAUAUAUAGAAGAUAAGUAAUUUUCUUGCCAUUGUGGACCAAAACUUUUGUUAUGCAUAAAAUCCAAAGUCCUUUCUGUUGAGAGGAAAUAAGGGCAUGAAAACUCUUGCCAGCUUGUUUUAAUAGCUGGACCUCCCUGAUGACAUUUUGCCCGUUUCAUGUAAGGUGAAAAUCACCACUCCUUAUGAAAACUCCUAAGAAAAAGAACGAGAGAGACAGAUGAUUUACAAAGGCAAGUAAGAGGAAGAUGACGUUUGUCUCACCCGUCCCGCACACAAGUGCAGUAUCAGUCCUCUGUUGCUAUUCUUAUCCUGAAUAUUUGGUACAGCCUUUUCUCAUCCCUAAGGAGACAGCAGUGAUAGCCAGAAGUACUUACACAAAGCCGCCUGUCGAAGAACCCUGAAGUAUUUUCUAAAAGCAGAUACUAAAUUUAAACCUGAGCUUCCUAUUGAGUUAGGGAACUAUCCUCCCUGUUUUUCCAGCUGGGGAGGCGAUACAGCAGGUAGUUGUCAAAAGGGCAGAGAAAAUUCCUGUUGGAGCUGGAAAUUGUCGUUCAGCAUCCUUUCUGUAUGGCAACGUGUGAGAGACAGGCUUGGAUUUCAGAAACUCAAGGAAAGCUCUGGUGUUACAGUUCUCCUUGGCUUUGAUGUUUCUGGGCCACCUUUACCCAGCCCCUUGCUAGCUGCCUUGCUGCCCACCGAUGGGACCUGCAUUCAAGUCUCUGGUAAUUAACAGAGAAGGGAUUCUCCAGUUCUCAGGGACCACUGCUUAUCAUCUUGCUUUUAAUCACACAUGCUGUGGUUUGCUUGGGUUUUUUCCCCCCAUUUCAGCAUUUAGUUUUAAACUCUAGAGGACCAGAAGUUUUCAGAAAUGAACUAUGCAAUGUGGAUAGCUGAGUUUGGAGCCAGUCCUGCCAGGCAGGAGAAGAAAUUUGACGGGAGACGGUUCCUCUGCAGCUUUCUGUUAAUCUAGGGAAGGGAUGUGGCAUGGGUUCGGAGCCUUAAUGUCUGGAGGAAAAUAGGCAAGCCAUCUGCUCCUGCAGGCACUGGCGCAUCGGUGCUUUGUGCCAGUUACACCAAGGCAAAACUUAUUGUCUAGCCAAGCAUUCAUGUCCAACAGAGUGUGUAAGUACCUGCGGUGAGUUGCUGUAUGAAAUCCCAGUCCACUCUUGGCAAAAUGUCACACCAAGCAUGUUCACGUUCAAUGCCAAGAGCUAUGCAACGCUGUGCGAUAUUCCUGUGGUUCCUGAAGGUGGACUAUCACGAGGAUGCUUGAGGAAGGAUGCGGAUGGGCUGUUGUCAGGGGGGAGGCUUGGUAUGUGCAGCAGCCUCUGCCACUGAUUUGGUGCCGGAGGGGGUGACAUUCAAACCAAUUUCUCAUUACACCCUCAAAGGCAAAAGGCAGGUGUGACCAGAAAUAGGGACAGCCGAAGCAAACCAGACACAACUGUGGUGAACAAUUGCAAUGAGUCUUUCCGGAUACAAGACAUCUGCCCCGCACAGGGAGUGAGGAGUGGGAGAACAAGGAUUGUGCUUCCCAUGGGGGAGCGAGCGAGCACUGGCCGGGACACGGCUGCAGCGGCACCGCCGCAGUGCGGUGCAACGUGGAGGUGGGCUUUCUGCUGUCGGGAGGCUUAGCAAGUGAUGCCGUAAGCCCAAAAUACCACAUUACACAGGCUGUGUGAAGUAGGUACAGACUUGGAACAGCAGUGGAGCUGAAAUCAAAGACAACUGAGCGCUCCGAGACAGUGCCCUGCCAUAAGAAAGAAAGACUUGGAAAAAGGCCCCUGCCUUUUUUUCUGGUGUGGCAGAAAAGGAUCAGAAAAAGGUGUAGGAGGAGCCAAGAAAAUGCUCUCCAGCAGAGGAAAGACAGCCGAUGGGCUGUCCACAAGUCCCCCUCCAACAGUAACUAUACAGGAUGGGUCAAAGUCAAGCUAGGCAGUACCCUAGCACCGCAGUAAUACCCAGUAAACUACUGCAGUACCAAACAAUGCUGAUUUUAUUACAUGCCAGUGCCUGAAUGAGUAAUUCGGGAUUUAUUUAGCUAUCUCCAUGUUGCUGCUCUGUGUGCAGGGGGGUCUGCAGUGGGCUGGCCAGGAGGCUCAACACUUGGUGGCGAGGCAGCGCUGCGCAGUAACGACCCUGGGUUCCAGGAGGAAGGACGGACUGGUGCAAAAACACAACAGCGGCACAAAAAUUUGGAUGACAGGAGAGAGUGUGCCGGGGGCUUGCAGUGGGGAGCAGAGAUGGCAAGGGAGACCGGCACCAAGCUGCCUGUGUGUGGCUACAGUGUUAACUGCUGGGGCUCAGGGAAUCGUUCGCCUAUCAAGGACUAACCUGAACAUACAGGCUCAGUGCAUUACAAUUACCCAACACAGAGCAGACUGCAAGAUAUGUGUCACGUGCUGUGGGACUAGGCACUAUUUCCAACGAUCCCAUAGAAGUGUCAUAGGAUGAUACUCUCAGCUACGUGUUAAUUAAUCAAUAGUUUUUUUAAUUCUGUUUUCCUUUGUUCAUGUUAAGACAGGCUUUAUUUCUCUUUAUGGGUCAUUUAGCUCGAUAAAUCUAUUUGAAAAAUUACUUGACAAAUGUUUAAGCAAAGAUUCUUUCUAAGUAUGUGUUCCUUUUGGAGAAAAUCUGGCAAAGUAUCUUCCGAUCUGUUCCUUCAUAGGAGAGAGAAUACAGUCAGGAUAUGCCAGCUCCUCCUGCGUAGUGCAGUUAUUUUUUUCCUUUAGUUCUUGCAUGUUUCAGUUUUACAAUUGCUCCCACGGGUCAUAAUAAACCAAGAUAUAAAGAAAAUAUAUUCAGCAUCUUUUGAAAAAUAACAAGCUGUAUCCUUUACAGGAAAUGUGGGUUGAGGCAUAGUAUACAAACUUUUGUCAUGUCCUUUAAUCUCACUUAACAGGGACAUAGUUUAGCCACGCUGGUUUCUUCAGAGCAUGUGCUGAUAGGAUUUAAUUAAUAAAUCAGAUUGCAGAUUCUGUGACUGCUAGAAAAUGUUCAACAGCAAAGUCACUUUGACAGAGCUGCUUUUCAACAUAUUAUCCUUCUGCUGAAAGAUCCCCCAAUGAAUCCAAUAUUUGUCUCAAGCACUGAGGAGAGCAAUGACCUACUAUAAACAGCACUGCCUGGCAGUCAGAGCUUGUCAUUGUUAAUUUACUGCCACAGCAGCUCAUUCCCAACCUUACUGAAUAAACACAGGUAUUAAAUCAUUCAGCUGAUGGGAAAAAUGCAGAUUCCAUUCAAAUCGAUAUAGUAUGAUGUUUCUAGACUUCACUUUUUGAGAAGUGUGUUUUAACAAAACUCAGGCUUCUAGGAGAUGGGAGUGUGAGCUAAAGCAGUGCUAUGCGCCUUAGUACAGAAAUUUUCCAGCUAUUCCAGCACAACAGUGCUGUCAGUUUAAUGCACUUUUGAAACCUGCUAUGAAGUGACUAUGAAAGUAAUGAGAACCAAGCAGAUUGUUCUGGGUCUGGAAGAGCUGCUCCAGGUGAAACCCCCAGCAAGAGGAAAAACGUUCAGUGACUGAGA